GAUGAACGCUGGCGGCGUGCCUAAUACAUGCAAGUAGAACGCUGAAGCUUGGUGCUUGCACCGAGCGGAUGAGUUGCGAACGGGUGAGUAACGCGUAGGUAACCUGCCUCUUAGCGGGGGAUAACUAUUGGAAACGAUAGCUAAUACCGCAUAAAAGUCGAUAUCGCAUGAUAUUGAUUUGAAAGGUGCAAUUGCAUCACUAAGAGAUGGACCUGCGUUGUAUUAGCUAGUUGGUGAGGUAACGGCUCACCAAGGCGACGAUACAUAGCCGACCUGAGAGGGUGAUCGGCCACACUGGGACUGAGACACGGCCCAGACUCCUACGGGAGGCAGCAGUAGGGAAUCUUCGGCAAUGGGGGCAACCCUGACCGAGCAACGCCGCGUGAGUGAAGAAGGUUUUCGGAUCGUAAAGCUCUGUUGUAAGAGAAGAACGAGUGUGAGAGUGGAAAGUUCACACUGUGACGGUAACUACCAGAAAG
rnacentral:rRNA from 1 species